rnacentral:snoRNA from 1 species
UAACACAUUCAACAGUAGGAUCAUUUCUAUAGGAAUCGUCACUCUUUGACUCUUCAAAAGAGCCACUGAAUCCAACUUGGUUGAUGAGCCCCAUAACCUUUGUACCCCAGAGUGAGGAAAUGAAAUCGAGUUUAAAUUAGCUUGGUCCGCAAUCCUUAGCGGUUCGGCCAUCUAUAAUUUUGAAUAAAAUUUUGCUUUGCCGUUGCAAUUGUGAUAACUUCCUUUGGAAUUUGUUGCGAUAUUUAAUGGCGCGAUGAUCUUGACCCAUCCUAUGUGCUUCCAUUCUGGAAGGAUAGGGAUUCAUGGGUGGGUACAAAUGGCAGUCUGACAAGU